rnacentral:rRNA from 1 species
GUGCCAGCAGCCGCGGUAAUACGUAGGAUCCAAGCGUUGUCCGGAUUUACUGGGUGUAAAGGGUGCGCAGGCGGACUUGUUAGUCAGGGGUGAAAUCUCACAGCUUAACUGUGAAACUGCCUUUGAUACUGCAAGUCUUGAAUUGGGGAGAGAGUUGUGGAAUUCCGAGUGUAGCAGUGAAAUGUGUAGAUAUUCGGAAGAACACCAGUGGCGAAGGCAGCAACUUGGCCCCAGAUUGACGCUCAGGCACGAAAGCAUGGGGAUCAAACAGGAUUAGAUACCCUGGUAGUCC